UCUGAUUCGAAUCACCUGGUCGCAAAUAAAGAGAACAUCUAAAUUUAUUCACAUAUACUGGUGUGUAAACAGCAGGGGAGUCUCGUUUCUCUAGGUUGAAAUAAUGCCGAAGAUGAGAACGAGCCACCCUGUAUAGUUAGAAAGUUUAUUGCUGCACAAUGUUGUCAUUUAUUUUGUUUAGGACAUGAGGGAAAUGUUGUCAGAUGGACAUUAUUGUAAUGUUUAGUGUUUUUAGGACUGAAAAUUGGGAAUUUGAAUAAGUAAGUUAAGGAAAGGAAACAUUUAAUUGGAAACGACGCAAGAAAGAAAUCUUAACUCGUUGCGUAUAAAAGUUCGUCGUCGGUUAUUAGCGAGGAGGAAAAUGAAAGUGGAGGUGUCAAUCGCUUAAAUAAGUAAUGAAAAUUAACGUCCAAGUUUUUGGUCCAAUGUAUAAAAGUAUCACUUUGUUAAAGAAUUUUCAAUUUCAAUCUCAAGUUCGUCGGAUGAUUCGUUGGAAGUUAGUGUCAAAUAAAACAAAACAAAUUUGAAUUUGUUAAAACCAUAAGAUUGUCGUGAAAGUGAAGUUUCGUUUUUAACUGCGAUCCUUUGGACCAAUUUAAACAUGAAUUUUUUGGACAGAUUGUGUAAAACAAACCUAGAAUAGGCGUGUAUGUCCUACAAGUAAUCAUCGAAUCUCGUCUUUCCAUAAAGAAGUGCGUGCGCCGAUAGUAAUUAAAGAAAUCUCUUACGACCUCGGGCGGCGACACAAAUAACUAGGUGAAAGAAAUCUAUAACACGAGAAUACCAAACUAUAGGAAUUACCUACAUCUAGAACUAGUGGAUUACAAACGAAACACCUAGAUGGCCUGAGAACAUCAAGUAAUAAUUGAACCGAUCCAUCGCUGGUCCUGGUAUCGAAGAAGCUAUAAGAGUAGCGGUAAUGAUGGAGAUAAAACACUUAAAAGUUAUACACCACUCAACCACAUAACACGUGUGGUGCCAGGGCAUUCAAGAAGAUAUUACUCUCGCAACAGUUUUUUUUUGCAAGACCAGUGUGUUUUUCUAAAUUGUGUAGUAUUUCGUCGUGACGAAUGAUUUUUGGCGGGUUCUUAAAGGCGUUGGACAACUUAUAUUGGCUUUCGCUUGCACUUCGUUCUUUUCUUAGGCACCGUUUAAAGAACAGUUCCGUCCAUCGCUGAAAAUAUCCAUGUUUCAAGUGUCCUACUUCAAGUGUUAAUUUCUCGUUUUAAUUUUAAUUGUGAGUACCAGUUCUACGUCAUAGUUCGAGCGUAAUUUCAAGGUCAACUUUACGUCCAUGCUAAUUACGAGUUUGAUUAACAUUUAUCUCUUAUCAAAGUCACCUAGUCUGCCAGACGACUGACUGUACCAUUUUGUGUGGAAUGCGUAUGCGAAUCCAAGGUCAACCUGUAAUAUCGGCUAACCGGUUAUAACAACGCUGGGAAUGAAGAUAAGUUAGCAUAAGCUAUUAAUUUUAGAAUUAAGCAAAUUUAUAAUUAUUGAAUAAUUCCUCUUCAAGGGUUAUACCAAAAUCGUAACAACCAUGCUGAGAACCCCUUAGGGAGAGGAGAGUUCUCAUCGAUGUGCAAAAUUCUUAUAAAGCUGUUUCAACGUGUUCUUCCCGUGUGGUAACCUUCUCCCCUGCCUCAAUGAAUCGGCGAAGAUCCGUAUCUGACAGUACCUUGUUCUUCUGAUACAUCAAAACAGAAGGUAAGUGUCAGUUUCUUAUUAUUUUUACUAUUACUCAAAAAAAGAAGACUUC